rnacentral:hammerhead_ribozyme from 1 species
GCACUGCUGACGAGUCCCAAACGGGACGAGACAGCUGUCUAGUGC